AGAAAAUGAUCAAUGUUAUGGCUGUACAGUUUAGGAAGCUGAGUUACUCCCGGAUCACAACAAAGUGAGCAACAAAUACAGGUAGCAGAAUGGUCUACCGUUUCUUAUAUACAAAAUUGAGCUGAAUAUUUGUCGGAAGUAAAUAACUAAUAAGAUUAUUCCUGUUCGUUAUCCACUUCUUCUUCCGGUUGACAAAGCUGUCGUCUUGCAGAUGGGGCAUAAAUUCUUUACCAUCAACCAUUGUUUUAUGCAAUCUUCGUGGUACCUGUGGCCACAGUCAAGGGUUCCAAUGCAUUCUUUAACCUGAUACUCUUCCUGCAAUACCAAGAAAAGAUUUUUAGAACAAGGAUAUGUCGAUUUGACUAGACUAAAUGUUGCUAGUCUUCAAUUUCUCUACAAUGUAGCUUUUUGCCAGACCAGUAUUUACAUCUCCAAUCUGCUCUUCUAAUGCUAAAAGCUCCUCAUAUGUCAUGCUGUCUAUAUCUAGCCGCAUAUCUCUAUGCUCAUCUACAACAUUUGACACUUCAUACAAUCUUGAAAAAUCCAUUAUUGUAGCAUGCUGCAGCACCGAAGAAAAAAUAUAUCAAUUUUGAGUGUGUGAUAUAGAAUUGAAGAGCAAGGUGUUUAACGUGACCUACAUUCUACUGCAAUAUGAACAGCCUGAACCAAGGGCAAAUAUGUGGCAGGAUUCGUAUAUUUCUGUGGUUCACUGGAUUUGCCAAGAGUGGAUGAUGUGGAGGCCCAAAAGUACGUUCAGAAUUAGAGAAAAGAACUGGAAUCCUUGGACCCAAAUGGAACCGGUUGCCAGAAUGAUUUACACCAUGUAAGACAGGAUUAUUGUGGCAUUGUUGGUAAGGAGCUUGCACUUGUGUAUGAUCAAGCAGAUUAUGAGCAUGCAUGCCAGCAUGCUGAUGAAAAUAGGGUAAAGGCCCUCGACAUAAGGUUGAAGGGCCAUUCUGAUAUUCACGGAAGCUUCCAUUCACUGUUUCUGAUCAAACGAAAAGUUACCUGGAGCAUUAUUCAUUCCAUUGACAUAUUCCCACUGUGGUAUUCCAUCAGCAAUACCAUUUGCAGACUGGGAAAUCCAUGUAUUGCUAGUAGGUUGAAAGCACUGGCUGAUGUGACUAGUUGGAAAUGCAUAAUUACCAUGCUGUGCUGAUUCUGGAUGGCCAACUGGUCUGGCUAUGGUACUCUGAUGGGUUAUAUGAUGCAGUGUUAGGCAAAACAUUUGACUCAAAAGAAGGAUCCCAUGGCCUAUGUGUAGGAUUCAGAGAUGCAUGAGAAGAGCUUGAACUUGCAAAUCCAUUAGCACAGUGGUAACUUCCUGCAACUGCAGCAUUUUUCCUUUUAAUGAAUCCUCUAGCACUUUCACCAGCAUUUUCAUUUCUGCUACCUUCAUCCAUGCUUCCUAGAACAACUUGGUUUGAUGGCAAUCCGAAGCUCUGAGUGUGAGAAACAUAUUGGUUCAUAGAUGUUGUCGACAUGCAGGGGUUGUACAUACUGGAUGGGAAGACAAAACCUGAAUCAACUCCUAAAUUUGGAGGCAAGUUAUGAACAGGUUGAUGUGGAUGGUUCAUGCCCGCAUCAUAGUAACUUCGCAUAUCAGAUAGACCAAUGUUUGUAGCAUUUCCUACCCCUCUGACAGCAUGUUGUGCACCUUGGUCAGAUGAAUCAUUCCCAGUGCGAUUAAAACUUUCAGAAUGAAUAUGAGAGUGCCCUUGUUCAGUUUCUAGAUCAAUUACUUGGGGAGUGCAUACCGUAUUUCUAUAUGCCAUAACGCCAA
rnacentral:sRNA from 1 species